CUUGUGCUUUAUCUUGGUUGCUGACCUUGGCAGUGAGGCUACACACAGCCCAUGGCCAGGGGGAUCUGCGUGCACAGAGGCAGGGGACUAGGUGGGCCAAGAAGGCGGCUAGGAAGAGGACCCAGAGAAAGCAGUUGGGAUUGUGACAAGCAUCACACUGUAUGUGACGAAGACCAAUUGCACAAGGGAAGAUAUGCCUUCCCCUAUGAUGUAUGAUAGCCUCAUGUAUUACGGCCACCUGGAUGAUCGAGCGUUAACAGAUCUGAGAGAUUGCCAGCCGCUGCCAGUGCCUGAGGUAGAACAAUGCACGUUUCAAAUGUAUAUGGAUGCAAAGAGUGGACGACAGACCAUCUUUGAUUAUUACUGCACACCAGUGGAAGUAGCUGAAGAAGAUGAGGAUUGAUGACUCUGCCUCAUCUCUGGAUGCAGCCAAUUGGGGUCAGCCCCUUCCUUCCACAGCUACAAUAUAAUCACUUAGAUAGAAACUCUCCCACAGAAAGUGGGUUUCUGAAUCCACCACAGUCCCUCCUCAUCCUAGAAUCUCUCUCUCUCUCUCUCUCUCUCUCUCCUGUUCCGAAAUAGGACAAUAAAAUUAACUCGCACAAG